AGAGUUUGAUCCUGGCUCAGGACGAACGCUGGCGGCGUGCUUAACACAUGCAAGUCGUACGGUAAGGCCCUUUCGGGGGUACACGAGUGGCGAACGGGUGAGUAACACGUGAGUAACCUGCCCACAACUUUGGGAUAACGCUAGGAAACUGGUGCUAAUACUGGAUAUGUGCUCCUGCUGCAUGGUAGGGGUUGGAAAGCUCCGGCGGUUGUGGAUGGACUCGCGGCCUAUCAGCUUGUUGGUGGGGUAGUGGCCUACCAAGGCGGCGACGGGUAGCCGGCCUGAGAGGGCGACCGGCCACAUUGGGACUGAGAUACGGCCCAGACUCCUACGGGAGGCAGCAGUGGGGAAUAUUGCACAAUGGGCGCAAGCCUGAUGCAGCAACGCCGCGUGCGGGAUGACGGCCUUCGGGUUGUAAACCGCUUUCAGCAGGGACGAAGCUUUUUGUGACGGUACCUGCAGAAGAAGCACCGGCUAACUACGUGCCAGCAGCCGCGGUGAUACGUAGGGUGCGAGCGUUGUCCGGAUUUAUUGGGCGUAAAGGGCUCGUAGGCGGUUGAUCGCGUCGGAAGUGGAAACUUGAUGCUUAACGUUGAGCGUGCUUUCGAUACGGGUUGACUUGAGGAAGGUAGGGGAGAAUGGAAUUCCUGGUGGAGCGGUGGAAUGCGCAGAUAUCAGGAGGAACACCAGUGGCGAAGGCGGUUCUCUGGACCUUUCCUGACGCUGAGGAGCGAAAGCGUGGGGAGCGAACAGGCUUAGAUACCCUGGUAGUCCACGCUGUAAACGGUGGGUACUAGGUGUGGGGUCCAUUCCACGGAUUCUGUGCCGUAGCUAACGCAUUAAGUACCCCGCCUGGGGAGUACGGCCGCAAGGCUAAAACUCAAAGGAAUUGACGGGGGCCCGCACAAGCGGCGGAGCAUGCGGAUUAAUUCGAU
rnacentral:rRNA from 1 species